UACGUAGGGUGCGAGCGUUGUCCGGAAUUAUUGGGCGUAAAGAGCUCGUAGGCGGUCUGUCGCGUCGGUCGUGAAAACCUGCAGCUUAACUGUGGGCGUGCGGUCGAUACGGGCAGGCUAGAGUUCGGUAGGGGGAGACUGGAAUUCCUGGUGUAGCGGUGAAAUGCGCAGAUAUCAGGAGGAACACCGGUGGCGAAGGCGGGUCUCUGGGCCGAUACUGACGCUGAGGAGCGAAAAGCCGUGGGGGAGCAAAACGGGG
rnacentral:rRNA from 1 species